UAAGGAAUAUUGGACAAUGGAGGCAACUCUGAUCCAGCCAUGCCGCGUGAAGGAUUAAGGCCCUCUGGGUUGUAAACUUCUUUUAUAGGGGAAGAAAUGUGACGGUUCUCCGUCACUUGACGGUACCCUGGGAAUAAGCACCGGCUAACUCCGUGCCAGCAGCCGCGGUAAUACGGAGGGUGCAAGCGUUAUCCGGAUUCACUGGGUUUAAAGGGUGCGUAGGUGGGCAGAUAAGUCAGUGGUGAAAUCUUCCGGCUUAACCGGGAAACUGCCGUUGAUACUAUUUGUCUUGAAUAUUGCGGAGGUAAGCGGAAUAUGUCAUGUAGCGGUGAAAUGCUUAGAUAUGACAUAGAACACCAAUUGCGAAGGCAGCUUACUACACAAUCAUUGACACUGAGGCACGAAAGCGUGGGUAGCGAACA
rnacentral:rRNA from 1 species